UCCGUACCGUACGACCGUUAUUCGGAAUUACUGGGCUUAAAGGGUUUGUAGGCGGCCUUGUAAGUCAGGUGUGAAAUCCCGGAGCUCAACUUCGGAACUGCCUUUGAUACAGCACAUCUGGAGUCCGGAAGAGGUGGGUGGAAUUCCUAGUGUAGAGGUGAAAUUCGUAGAUAUUAGGAAGAACACCGGUGGCGAAGGCGGCCCACUGGUCCGGUACUGACGCUGAGGUGCGAAAGCGUGGGGAGCAAACAGG
rnacentral:rRNA from 1 species